rnacentral:lncRNA from 1 species
UUUAAAACGACAGUACACAUUUAUUGUCUUACAGUGUAUAUAGAUCAUACAUGCAGAAAGAGCAUGGCUUGAUUGUUCGUGAGGUCAGAGUUAGAUGUUGGUGGGGGCUGCAAUCAUCUGAAGACUUGACCGAAGCUGGAGGAUCUGUUUCCAAGUUGGCUCACUCACGUGAGUGGCAAUUUGUCGCUGGCUGUUGGCACAUGGGCUUUUCCCAAGAGGCUUCUGGGUGUCUUCCUAGCAUGGUGGCUCAUGUCCACCAGACCAAGGGAUCCAAAAAGAAGCAAAGCGAAUGCUUCAGUAGCUUUAUGACCUAGCCUUGAUGUCACAAACCACUACCUCCACCAUAAUCUGUGGAUCACACAGGCCAGCCCUGACUCAGAGCGAGAGUAGACUAUGUAAGAAAGUGAAUAUCAUGGGCUGGCAGGAACGGAGAUGUGGUGUUGAGUCAGCUUCCACGAUGCGGAUAACACGCCACCUGAUGGCAUGGCAAAGCCCACGUCUCAGAUGACCACACGAAGCUGCUUACCAGCUUGGACUGCCUGCCAACUUGGACUUUGAAGUGAGAGAGAAAUAACAUCAUCCAGCAGCAAGUGGCAGACCUGACACAUCUCGCUUUCCGAUUUCUGCUCUGUGACCUCCCUCCAUACACUUUGACAAGGAAGAUGUCCUUACUAAAGGAGAAUGUUGUUUUUGCUCCCGAUGCUCUUGUGUAUUCUAAGAGCUCAGUAAACAUUUGAAAGUGGGAGUUCAUUCUGAGAAUUUUAUGUCCUUAUUUAGUGAAGAACCAAAACUAUGUGUCCUCCAAUGUUGAGCGCAAUCUAUCUCCAUUAUGAUGAAUGCUACAUUUUUUUGAAGUUGGGCUCUGCUUAUAUUCUGUUUUGGGGUUCUGACUCAUUUUCUUUGGAACAUAAGUCUAUUUGAGGGAUGUUAAGUUUACUGAUUGUUUUCAAAUGCAGUGUUCUCUGAGCACGUUUUCCUGUACCUUGUACAGAUGCUUACCAUCUUGCCGUCUUUAUAUAGCUUUGCUAUUCAUACUAAAAAUAGGAACACGUGCAGCUAAUAUUAAGCCAAUACUAUGGGUAUGGUCAUACUGGUUGGUAAUAAAAUAUUGAAAUAGUUCCAUAUUCCUUGGUAAACAGUGAAGACCCUAUGACCUCCGAGGUCUCCCAGCUGCUCUAGCAUCUAUGGUCCCUCCUUCAGCACCCCUGGAUAUUCCCAGUACCCAGACACCAGCAGGGAGCCUCCAGCUCUGUGACAUGAG